GGCACCGUUAUAGUGCAAUUAAUGUGUUGUUGUGUAGUGGCUUUGCUGGCAUGCAUCAAAAUAAUGUAUUUGAGUUAGCCCCGCCAAGAUUUACACGCUAAAAUCACCACUGCUUCGAAGGCAUGCAUAGGCCAAAUUGAGUUCUGUACCGCAUCACCGUGAGCCUCUCAAAUGUUUAACAAUGUGGAGGGCUCAGUAUAGCUCCGCAUUGACAUGAUUGGUUGAUGGUAGGUGAGGGCGGGAGGUCCUGGAUAAACACAAACUCACUUCCUUGACAACUUCCUUCAACAGCUCUGCGCUGCUCCGUGACGCUCAAGAAGUAUGAAUGCCCUGACUUGUGCAGAGGCCAUAUUACCGUAAACGCUGAACGACCAAUGCAGACAUUGUAUUGAUUGACCGACCGCAGUGCCUUUACCCUCAACUCUUGUAACAAUGCGGUAUCUGCAGUAUCUGGUUGAUGAUCUACUUGGUGGGGACGAUCAGUGAUGGUCCUGUACUAUGAAUCAUUUUCACCUGUGGAGUUUCAUGACCUGCCCCCCGAGGUGAAGCAGUGGGAUGGACCGAGACAUCGAUAAUUAGGGUCAUUAGCCAGGGCUGGGAAGCUUCCCACUGGACACAGAUGUCAGUUCAUCAUCUAGUUUUGAUUUACAUUUGAUUGAGUUGUCAGCUAACAUGAAUUCAACAUGAAAUUAACAAAAAAUGUCACAAGGUCAUUGGAUUUAGGUUAAAAGUUGAGAGAAAAAAAUACUAAAUUCCAUUUACGUUGAUGACUUUUUUUCAAAUUCAAUCAGUUUUCCAUGUUGAUUCAACGUCGUCAUAUAAAAUGUUGGGGUUGAAAUGACAUGGAAACAAUAUUGAUUCAACCAGUUUUUGCCCAGUGGGUUGUGGUUUGACUGUCAACAAUAAGUGUCAUCACAAACAGGUUUGUCGAGGACCUAUUGUGAAAAAGGCUUUCUCUGGCAGGUGUAGAUUUAAUUAUGUUCCCACUAGAAACGAGGCAAGCCUGCUAACUGACUUAACGUGUACAUCCCGUCAUGCCAAUACAGAAUAGGAGAAAUCCUGUCGCUUCUCUUAUUUUUCACAUUUAUAAAACUGAGCUCAUUUAGGCCCCUUCAGUUGAUUAUUCUGUCUGUAAAUUAUUGUAAUAUGGUGCAAAAAUAUCUACUUAAUAUGAAGCCUAUAUACUGGAGAUGAUAAAGCAAUGCCACGAAUGGAGAAAAGUCAAGUCAUGUGAAUAUGCCCAACAGCGCCCCUACACUCCUGGGAAGUAUCCUACAUGGUGUUUUGGUUUGUUUACAUCUAGGUAUAUCAAGUGCGCACUGUCAUGCAAUCACAACACCACAUAUGUCAGUAUGGCCUUCAUUCACAUAACAGUCAUAAGAUUCAUAUUAAUAUAAGUAAGUAGCACGCAUAGUCCUUUUAUAAACGCGAACUUAUUAUAAACAUGACUAUAGUCUACAGUAACUUCAUUUAAUCAGUAACAACUUGUUUGUAAACAACUACUUUUUUUGUUAUUUUUCUGUCUCGUUUUUAUUAUUGGGCUCUGUUGUGUUUGAUGUUUUAUACCGCCAUGAGGAAAUAAGUAGUGACCAUGCCAAUAUUAAGUGCAAGUGCGUAACAUCCUCCUCGCUCCUAUUUACGCACAUCCAUCUCUUGCGCAGCAUCCUAUUCCCAAUCCCCGCUUCACGCUCCAUCUCGUCGCCAACAGUUUUAGCCUGCCUAACAUUCCUCUAUCCAAAACAAAUAGCAUGAAGCCGAUUACUUAAUAUAGGCUAUGUUUCUGAGGGUUUCCAGUAUCUGCGGCGUAGGCUACAAUUCCCACCGGAUUCCAUUGCAUUUGUCACAAUAGCACUCGCUCUGACGCAGACAAAUGUAACUAUUUACCUGUCGCUCAUAAUUGAGAAUGGUAAUUGUAUUCGAUUAGUUUACUACCUCCACUAUAUGUAUCGUUUACUAAAUUGGCAUUUUCAUAUUUAUUUGAAAGUGAAGAGCAUUUUAAGAGGACCAUAUCCACAAUCACUAUAUUAUAGGCUAUAUCAGAUUUGUUUAUAGAUGUUUGUGAUAACACAUUGUAUUAGUUAAAUGUGUCGUUACAACAUCGUUUGCAUUAGGCUACUGAAAUUGGCAACACGUUUCUGUAAUUCCUAGAAUAAAAUUAUGAUUUAGCCUGA